rnacentral:rRNA from 1 species
GACGAACGCUGGCGGCGUGCCUAAUACAUGCAAGUAGAACGCAGUUGCGAACGGGUGAGUAACGCGUAGGUAACUGCCUCAUAGCGGGGGAUAACUAUUGGAAACGAUAGCUAAUACCGCAUAAUGUUAUAUGGACCGACUUUGGAUUUGAUAGUUGGUGAGGUAAAGGUUAACCAAGGGGCCGCUCAAUAGCCGACCUGGGAGGGGGAGCGGCCCCACUGGGACUGGGACACGGCCCAGACUCCGACGGGAGGCAGCAGUAGGGAAUCUGCGGCAAUGGACGGAAGUCUGACCGGGCAACGCCGCGUGAGUGAAGAAGGUUUUCUCAUCGUAAAGCUCUGUUGUUAGGGAAGCGGUAACUAAACAGAAAGGGACGGCUAACUACGUGCCAGCAGCCGCGGUAAUUC